rnacentral:rRNA from 1 species
GGGGAAUAUUGGACAAUGGGGGCAACCCUGAUCCAGCAAUGCCGCGUGAGUGAUGAAGGCCUUCGGGUUGUAAAGCUCUUUUGCCAGGGACGAUGAUGACGGUACCUGGAGAAUAAGCCCCGGCUAACUUCGUGCCAGCAGCCGCGGUAAUACGAAGGGGGCGAGCGUUGUUCGGAUUUACUGGGCGUAAAGGGCGCGUAGGCGGCCCUUCAAGUCAGGCGUGAAAGCCCCGGGCUCAACCUGGGAGGUGCGCUUGGGACUGGAGGGCUGGAGUUCGGGAGAGGAGCGUGGAAUUCCCAGUGUAGAGGUGAAAUUCGUAGAUAUUGGGAAGAACACCGGUGGCGAAGGCGGCGCUCUGGACCGAGACUGACGCUGAGGCGCGAAAGCGUGGGGAGCAAAC